rnacentral:ncRNA from 1 species
CGCAAAGCUGCGAAGGAGAGAGUAGGGAGCGCCCCGAAGCACAGAGAGCUACGUAAGGUGCGAGGUAGCCUUCGCGAGCUCCCGAAAGACGCUCUGGAGCUGCGCGACCGAAAGGCACCAAGUAGGUUGCGCCGGACGCUUCCGUUAUCGAGCUUGGGUCACAUUGAUCCGUAGAGUCGCUGGCUGCUGGGCCAGCGAGAAUAAAGGUGGCACCACGGGAAGCCCCCGUCCUUUAG